GACGAACGCUGGCGGCGUGCUUAACACAUGCAAGUCGAACGGUAAGGCCCUUCGGGGUACACGAGUGGCGAACGGGUGAGUAACACGUGGGUGAUCUGCCCUGCACUUCGGGAUAAGCCUGGAAACUGGGUCUAAUACCGGAUAGGACCCUGGGAUGCAUGUCCUGGGGUGGAAAGCUUUUGCGGUGUGGGAUGGGCCCGCGGCCUAUCAGCUGGUUGGUGGGGUGAUGGCCUACCAAGGGGACGACGGGUAGCCGGCCUGAGAUGGUGACCGGCCAGACUGGGACUGAGACACGGCCCAGACUCCUACGGGAGGCAGCAGUGGGGACUAUUGCACAAUGGGCGCAAGCCUGAUGCAGCGACGCCGCGUGAGGGAUGACGGCCUUCGGGUUGUAAACCUCUUUCAGCACCGACGAAGCGCAAGUGACGGUAGGUGCAGAAGAAGGACCGGCCAACUACGUGCCAGCCGCCGCCGUAA
rnacentral:rRNA from 1 species